UACAGAGGGUGCGAGCGUUGUUCGGAAUUACUGGGCGUAAAGGGCGCGCAGGCGGCUGCUCAAGUCAGGCGUGAAAGGCCUGGGCUCAACCCGGGAACUGCGCUUGAGACUGGGCUGGCUUGAGUGCGGGAGAGGAUGGUGGAAUUCCCAGUGUAGAGGUGAAAUUCGUAGAUAUUGGGAAGAACACCGGUGGCGAAGGCGGCCAUCUGGACCGCAACUGACGCUGAGGCGCGAAAGCGUGGGGAGCAAACAGG
rnacentral:rRNA from 1 species